GACGAACGUUGGCGGCGUGCUUAAUACAUGCAAGUCAACUGAAGCAGUGGUAGCAAUCUCGCUGUGGAGGUGGCGCACGGGUGAGUAACACGUAGGUAAUCUGCCUUCAGGUCUGGCAUAACUCCGGGAAACCGGGGCUAAUAGCAGAUGAUGCAGCGGCUCGACAUCGAGACAGUUGUUAAAGCUAUGGCGCCUGAAGAUGAGCCUGCGUCUGAUUAGCUAGUUGGCGGGGUAACGGCCCACCAAGGCAACGAUCAGUAGCUGGUCUGAGAGGAUGAUCAGCCACACUGGAACUGAGACACGGCCCAGACUCCUACGGGAGGCAGCAGGAAGGAAUAUUGCGCAAUGGGAGAAAUCCUGAAGCAGCAACGCAGCGUGAGGGACGAAGGGCUUUGGCUUGUAAACCUCUGUAGGGAGAGAAAAAAAUCCCAAUCUUUGGGACAUGAUGGUAGCUCAAAAGUAAGCCCCGGCUAACUACGUG
rnacentral:rRNA from 1 species